AGUGGUGAGCAGAGAGCAGCCGCGGUGUGCGGCACCCUCGUUUACCCGCUGUGUCCUCUCGCCUAGG
rnacentral:miRNA from 1 species